rnacentral:lncRNA from 1 species
CCUCCCGUCAGUUCCACCUUAAAAGGACAGGGGGGGGAAAAAGCACCGGAGUUAGUGACAUCGCAAAAUGCAGGAGACAAGAGGAGGGUUGGAUUAUUCCUUCGGCACUGGGGGGUGGGGGCGAAACAGAACCAGCCAGACCAAUUUGACUAUGCUGGCUUCUCAACUUGGCUUUUUAGAGUUAUUGAUUAUUCCAGGAAAUUGCAAGAGGAGUCCUGCUCCGGGAGCCAUUUGGGCGUCUGAAAAAUCACUUAGAACAUCAUUUUUGAUCUGGAAUCAAUCUGGCCUCCAUCUCCUGCAGGAGCAGAGGGAGCAGGAGCUAAUGGCUGUUCCUACGUCCUCCUGGGUGGGGCUGCAGGCUUUGCCUAUAGGGGAGGAGGGUGCUCUAGGUCUGGUGGCUUCUUCUAUAGCAGAUGGCGUGUAACCAGACGAUAUGGUGUCUCGAAGCAGCUCUCUUGGGUGCUGUAUUUGAUAAUGUAGUGUUGGGUUUUUUGCUUAAGGCUAGUGAACCCAGCAACAUGGUGUCUCUCGUGUCACUUUAGUCAGUGGUUGUGAUUAUGUUCAGGAUGAUGUCGAAUACUAAAGGAGCAUGUUGAUGGAUCUCUGCAGACUUUAAUUGCUCAGGAAUUGUCUGCUGUGUUUGGAAAGACGUAAUUGUUUUUGUGACGUCACUCCCAUCAUACUUAAACAUGCAUUUCACAGUAAAGGGAUCAUCCUUUUUGUGUAAAUCCAGAACUUUGAUCAUCUCUAAAGAUUAUCUAAAGACAAUUUCAUCAGAGGAAGACACUCUCCGUUCUUAUAGAUGCAAGUCCUUCCUCAGUAUAAAGUAUUGUGAUUUUGUAUUUGGUUUAAUCUCCUCAACAGCUAAUUAAAAUGUCUGGUUGAGCACAUAAUGGAGGAUAAUGUCAGCAUUUUGUGUAUUUUGUGAUUCAGCUGAUUGAAAAUGUUCUAUCUAUGUGGAGAAUAAAUAGUGUGUUCUCUGAUAAUCCCCCCAAAAAAAAUAGCUUGGGAAAGUACUGAAGGCUUUGGAAGACCUUCAUAAAUUGGAUUUUUAUUUUCAUUCUCCAUAAGUGAAAUGCAUUGGUAGAGCCUUUUUUUGAAGGAACCUCAAACAGUAGAGCCUGGCAAUAGAUACGUCAAGGGUGCCAGGGUUAUGGGUUCGAUUCCCAGGAAAUGUGUGAACUGAACUGAACUGAUGUAUCUUAAAAAUACAGUUUUCUUUAGACAAAAGCAUCUGCCAAAAUGCGUAUAUAUUUCCAAACUCGUCUUUCUGAUUGAACAUUUUCCAUCACACCUGGUUAUUCUGUAUAGCAUUCUUGGCUUACUGUCUCUCUAAAUCUCCUAUGAUGCACUUUUGCGUUUCCUUUCUCACUCUGUCUCUCUUUCUUUUCCCUUUAGGAAGAAGGGUUCUUCUCAACCUCCUUAACCAAAUCUCCCCCUCACCUCCCCUCGUGCACCCCCCCUCCCCGCUGCUCUGUCGUUCUAUCACUGGUGUUGCUGGAGGCCGCA